CACUUGCUAACACUUGACUCACUCACAUCGACGCAAAAUGGAAGACGAUACGGGAGUGAAAUCGAGCAUUGUGAUCGGCCUCAUAGAGAAAUUCACUAUUUCGCAUUGUGAUCGGCCUCAUAGGUAUGGUUGGAAUGGCUGGUUUUGAUUUAAGGUCAGCCUCACUGCAUCUUUCUCAGUAUAGUGAAACUAGCAAGCAGCUCGUAUCAGAAUACAAAAUCUUUGCUCCAAUUUUAUGAUCCUGUGGUCGUCGUUGUUCCUCCUAAUAAAUAUGCGCCUGAUGGUAUGGUCGGAAUUUCAGAGCUGGUAGAUCAAUUUUAUGCUUCAGUCAAGAAAGUCAACCUCUUUAACAAGUUAGAAAUUUUUCAUGCUGCUUCCUUUAUCUCUGUUCAUGCACCGAUUUCAUGGUAUUAUGUGCUGAAUUUUGUAGGUUCUAAUGGCCUGUGGUUGCUUUGAUGACACCAAGGUUGUAGCUGGGAAACAUCUCAUUCUUUAACUGGUGUUUUACUUCUGGGUACUGGUGCUUGAAUAUUUGAUACACCGCCAUUGUCAUAUGAUGUUCCAGGGUGCUGUACUGGUUAAAAAUCUAGCAGCCAAAGAGCCUUCAGCUCAUGGUUUGGAUGCUUACUACAAGCAAUAUUAUCCCUGCUUGUCUGCUGCUGCAGCUACAAUCAAGUGGUACUCUCAGAACUUUGGCUUGCCUCAAAUUUGACUGGAAGAAAAGAUUUCAAUCUUAGAUUUAGUUUGCAUGCCACAAUGCCAUACUAGAGGUUAAAUCUUAAGUAAUUAGUCAUUAACUACUCAAAUCAGGUAAAAGUCUUCUCGAUAGUUUGGUUAAAUAUCAAAUAAGUGAGUGUUGUUAUGUUGAAAUUUUUAUUUUUUAGAACCAAGUUUUUUCAAAAAGCUAAAGAAACUGUACUGUUUCAUGAAC